rnacentral:tmRNA from 1 species
GGGGCUGACUGGCUUUGACAGCGGGCAGAACGGGUGAGCAAGCACGCAGAGCGCUGUGGACGGGCUCUUAAAUCUCGAUCCUCAAACUAUAACUGGCGAAAACAACUUUGCUCUCGCUGCCUGAUCGAAGUACAGUAGAUCGGCUUGAUUUCGGCACAAGGUGCUGAAACGAGACAUCUCCCGGAAGCCGUCGUUUCGAGGCUCAUCGAACAAGGAGGUGCAGACAAAUCGGAACUGGUUGCGGCAAGCUUUCGUGUCGCAACGAGAUUUUAGAAAGCUACGGGUGUGAUUGGUGGCCUUGGUCUUGUCACACCCCGACAAUGAAGUCAAGGAUAAGCGUGUAGAAAACUUAUCUUUUCCCCGUUUGGACGAGGGUUCAAUCCCCUCCAGCUCCACAG